CCUACGGGAGGCAGCAGUAGGGAAUCUUCCGCAAUGGACGAAAGUCUGACGGAGCAACGCCGCGUGAGUGAAGAAGGAUUUCGGUUUGUAAAACUCUGUUGUUAGGGAAGAAUGAUUGUAUAGUAACUAUAUACAGUAGAGACGGUACCUAACCAGAAAGCCACGGCUAACUACGUGCCAGCAGCCGCGGUAAUACGUAGGUGGCAAGCGUUGUCCGGAAUUAUUGGGCGUAAAGCGCGCGCAGGUGGUUUAAUAAGUCUGAUGUGAAAGCCCACGGCUCAACCGUGGAGGGUCAUUGGAAACUGUUAAACUUGAGUGCAGGAGAGAAAAGUGGAAUUCCUAGUGUAGCGGUGAAAUGCGUAGAGAUUAGGAGGAACACCAGUGGCGAAGGCGGCUUUUU
rnacentral:rRNA from 1 species